GUAGGGAGCGAGCGUUGUCCGGAUUCAUUGGGCGUAAAGAGCGCGUAGGCGGUUUGGUAAGUCGGAUGUGAAAACACGAGGCUCAACCUCGCGCGUGCAUCCGAAACUGCCCGACUAGAGGUAGGUAGGGGAGAUCGGAAUUCCUGGUGUAGCGGUGGAAUGCGCAGAUAUCAGGAGGAACACCGGUGGCGAAGGCGGAUCUCUGGGCCUUACCUGAUGCUGAGGCGCGAAAGCUAGGGGAGCGAACAGGAUUAGAUACCCUGGUAGUCCUAGCCGUAAACGUUGGGUGCUAGGUGUGGGAGGACAUUGACCCCUUCCGUGCCGAAGCUAACGCAUUAAGCACCCCGCCUGGGGAGUACGGCCGCAAGGCUA
rnacentral:rRNA from 1 species